AAGCAAAUCCUUAAAACACA
rnacentral:tRNA from 1 species